GCCGGCGUGGCUCAGUCGGCAGAGCAGCGGUUUCGUAAACCGCAGGUCGUCGGUUCGACUCCGACCGCCGGCU
rnacentral:tRNA from 1 species